rnacentral:misc_RNA from 2 species
GUACCCUCAAGCUUUGCUUGGUGUUGGGCGUUUGUCUACUUAUUAUAAUUAGACUCGCCUUAAAGUAAUUGGCAGCCAGUGUUUUUGGUAGUAAGCGCAGCACAUUUUGCGUCUUCGUCUUCAAACAGCGGCAACCAUAAAGCCUCUUUCUCAC